rnacentral:lncRNA from 1 species
GCUCUGUGUGUGUUUGGUGGAAAUAUUAUUUUUAAACAGCCAUUUACUCUGAAAAAAUAUGAUUUUGCAUUAAAUUAGUUUUAAAGUUAAGGGAUAUAUAUAAGACCUUUUUAUUAACAAGUUGAUGAGAUGAGCAUUAGUAUACCUAUAGGAAGUUUUUGAAUGAGUGCCAAUUCUGAAUUUACAAAUCAACAUUUCUUCUCUCCAGCUUUCUUUAGCUUGCCCAUGGUGAUGUGAAGAUGAGAAGAAAUAGCAAGGCCCAACCAGUUCUUCAUCUGGAGACAGUUCAACGUUCUGCAAACCAGGACAGUACUACAGAAGGACUAAGUAUAUAGGAAACUUGACUUAUUUAAAUAAGGCAGUGAAAAAAAUAGAAUAUGGGGAGUAAAACAACCUCUGAAGCUAAGUCUGCAUAUAUAAUAACUGGCUGGAGUGCAAUGGCACAAUCUCAGCUCACUACAAGCUCCACCUCCCAGGUUCAAGCAAUUCUCCUGCCUCAGCCUCCAGAGUAGCUGGGAUUACAGGAGGAGAAGGCACUUGAGAAGAGCCUGUUGAAGUCUCAUCUGCUGGAGAAAAUUUACUCCAAGAAAAUAGGAUGAAAGUGUCAAAGACAAUAGUUACAAGCCUUGGUGGUGCAAUUGAUUAUGAUCUUGUAAUGGUAUAAUUCUGAAACGAUGACACAGAUAGUGUCUUUAUAUGAUGGAGCUGGUCCCUAGAAGCAGAAGGCACAGUUUUCAAGUUCAGAAAUUUCUAAUUAAUAUCAUGUAUAUGGUGAAUUACAUAUAUAUGUAAUAAUAUGUAAUAUAAGGUUCUGUAAUAUAUGUAAGGAGUUUUAUUUUAUGAUAUAUACCAUAAAAUGUUCCUUAUGUCCUAAGUGUAUGACAAAGAAUAAAACACUUCAUAUCAUA